rnacentral:rRNA from 1 species
CCAACGGGAGGCAGCAGUGGGGAAUAUUGGACAAUGGGGGGAACCCUGAUCCAGCCAUGCCGCGUGUGUGAAGAAGGCCCUCGGGUUGUAAAGCACUUUCAGUGAGGAAGAACGCCUGGUGGUUAAUACCCAUCAGGAAAGACAUCACUCACAGAAGAAGCACCGGCUAACUCCGUGCCAGCAGCCGCGGUAAUACGGAGGGUGCGAGCGUUAAUCGGAAUUACUGGGCGUAAAGCGCGCGUAGGUGGCUUGAUAAGCCGGUUGUGAAAGCCCCGGGCUCAACCUGGGAACGGCAUCCGGAACUGUCAAGCUAGAGUGCAGGAGAGGAAGGUAGAAUUCCCGGUGUAGCGGUGAAAUGCGUAGAGAUCGGGAGGAAUACCAGUGGCGAAGGCGGCCUUCUGGACUGACACUGACACUGAGGUGCGAAAGCGUGGGUAGCAAACAGGAUUAGAUACCCUGGAGUC